rnacentral:rRNA from 1 species
GUGUCAGCCGCCGCGGUAAUACGUAGGCAGCGAGCGUUGUUCGGAGUUACUGGGCGUAAAGAGUGCGUAGGCGGUUUCGUAAGUCUGGUGUGAAAUCUCCCGGCUUAACUGGGAGGGUGCGCCGGAAACUGCGGAGCUGGAGUGUGGGAGAGGCAAGCGGAAUUCCUGGUGUAGCGGUGAAAUGCGUAGAUAUCAGGAGGAACACCUGCGGUGUAGACGGCUUGCUGGACCACUACUGACGCUGAGGCACGAAAGCGUGGGGAGCAAACAGGAUUAGAUACCCCAGUAGUCC